GUUGGUGUUUAUGACGGUGAGGAUCCACCCGUUCCCAUCCCGAACACGGUAGUUAAGCUCACUCGUGCUGACGAUACUUGGCGGGCGACCGCCCGGGAAAAUAAGUCAGUGCCGACA
rnacentral:rRNA from 1 species